GACUGGAGGUAUGAGCGACCAUCUAACACUUACUUUCUGGGAGAUUUCAUAAACCUGGAAGCGUCAGUGGUGCGUGCUAAUCGCGUUCCUCUGCGGGUGUUCGUGGAAAGCUGCGCAGCUACUUUGGGCCGCAGCGGGGAAGCUGCCUCCAUGUACACGAUCAUCGAGAACAGCGGAUGCAUGAUGGAUGCCAGGCUGACAAAUUCCAGGUUCAUGUCCAGGAUACAGGAUGACAAGUUAUAAUUUCCGAUUGAGGCGUUCAGAUUUCAGCAAGAUUCCCUCGGAGAGAUCCCACACUGGAAGAUGAGGCUAUACUAUUGGGCCGAUUUUUGUCUGUGAACAGCUGUCAAUGGAGGAUGAGCCUCUACUGCAAAUUCACAAGUCCUCUCAGAUGUCGUCAAAAGAUCCAGGUCACCAUGUUGACUUCUUUCAGAAAAAUCUGGAUCUUGCAGACCCCAAACUUUUGAACUAGUUCUCCAUGGAGUUGGUGCUCAUGGCUGCUUUGGUGGUUGCAGUUGGACUUUUGUGUGUCAUUAUCCUUGGAAAGUUGCUUUACCAAAGGUGCAGAAACGACUUGUGUUGACUUGUGAAUGAGGAUGAUAAAGGCGGUUUUAUCUAAA